rnacentral:rRNA from 1 species
UACGGAGGAUGCGAGCGUUAUCCGGAUUUAUUGGGUUUAAAGGGUGCGCAGGCGGUCUGUUAAGUCAGCGGUCAAAGCCCGGGGCUCAACCCCGGCCCGCCGUUGAAACUGGCAGUCUCGAGUUGGAGAGAAGUAUGCGGAAUGUGCGGUGUAGCGGUGAAAUGCAUAGAUAUCGCGCAGAACUCCGAUUGCGAAGGCAGCAUGCCGGCUCCACACUGACGCUGAGGCACGAAAGCGUGGGUAUCGAACAGG